rnacentral:rRNA from 1 species
GUCGAACUCUGCCGGCGUGCUUAACACCUGCAAGUCGAACGAGUGGCGAACGGGUGAGUAAUACGUGGGUAACUUGCGCUCCCUCCGGGAUAAGCCUUGGUAACGGCGUCUAAUACAGCAUACUGCGGGAUGGGCCGGCGGCCUAGCAGCGUGCUGGUGGGGUGAUGGCUUCCCAAGGCGGUGACGGGUAGCCGGCUGGCGAGGGUGACCGGCCACAGUGGGACUGAGAUACGGCCCAGACUCCUACGGGAGGUAGCAGUGGGGGAUAUGGCACAAGGGGCGAAAGCCUGAUGCAGCGACGCCGCGUGGGGGAUGAAGGCUUUCGGGUUGUAAUCCUCUUUCGCGAUCGAACGGGUAGGUGGAGGAGAAGCGCCGGCUAACUACGGGCCAGCAGCCGCGGUAAUAC